rnacentral:rRNA from 1 species
GGCGCUUUAUGCAUGCAGUCGUACGGAACCAUGGUUUUUCGGAUUAUGGUUUAGUGGCGGACGGCUGAGUAACACGUAGGUAACCUACCCACGAGUGGGGGAUAACUUACCGAAAGGUAAGCUAAUACCGCACGGUAUGGAUUUCUCAAAGGAAAUUCAUUAAAGCCGCAAGGCGCUUGUGGACGGGCCUGCGGCCGAUUAGCUUGUUGGUGAGGUAACGGCCCACCAAGGCAAUGAUCGGUAGCUGAUCUGAGAGGAUGACCAGCCAGAUGGGGACUGAGACACGGCCCCAACUCCUACGGGAGGCAGCAGCAAGGAAUAUUGGGCAAUGGGCGAAAGCCUGACCCAGCGACACCGCGUGGGGGAUGAAGGUUCUCGGAUCGUAAACCCCUUUUCUCAGGGACGAAUAAUGACGGUACCUGAGGAAUAAGUCUCGGCCAACUACGUGCCAGCAGCCGCGGUAAUACGUAGGAGGCGAACGUUAUCCGGAUUUACUGGGCGUAAAGCGAGCGUAGGC